UAUUUUGACUAUACAAAGGUAUUGUAAUAAGAUUUUAAUUGAAUGCUAAAAGAAUGGAAAUUUAAAAAAAAACUUUUUUAAAAAUAAAAAUUGAAUUUUUUUUAAUUUGUGCAAAAACAAUUAUACUUAUUAAAGACAAGAAGACCCUAAGAAUUUAAGAUUUUACAAUUAAAAAGUUUUUUUUUUAAAAUCUUGAUUGGGGCGAUCAAAAAAUAUUAAUAACUUUUUAAAAUUUAAAUUGAUCUAUUAUUAAUAAACUAAUGAAUUAAAUA
rnacentral:rRNA from 1 species